GGCGGCGGCUUACCAUGCAAGUCGAGCGGGGAAGGUAGCUUGCUACCUAACCUAGCGGCGGACGGGUGAGUAAUGCUUAGGAAUCUGCCUAUUAGUGGGGGACAACAUCUCGAAAGGGAUGCUAAUACCGCAUACGUCCUACGGGAGAAAGCAGGGGACCUUCGGGCCUUGCGCUAAUAGAUGAGCCUAAGUCGGAUUAGCUAGUUGGUGGGGUAAAGGCCUACCAAGGCGACGAUCUGUAGCGGGUCUGAGAGGAUGAUCCGCCACACUGGGACUGAGACACGGCCCAGACUCCUACGGGAGGCAGCAGUGGGGAAUAUUGGACAAUGGGGGGAACCCUGAUCCAGCCAUGCCGCGUGUGUGAAGAAGGCCUUUUGGUUGUAAAGCACUUUAAGCGAGGAGGAGGCUACCGAGAUUAAUACUCUUGGAUAGUGGACGUUACUCGCAGAAUAAGCACCGGCUAACUCUGUGCCAGCAGCCGCGGUAAUACAGAGGGUGCAAGCGUUAAUCGGAUUUACUGGGCGUAAAGCGCGCGUAGGUGGCCAAUUAAGUCAAAUGUGAAAUCCCCGAGCUUAACUUGGGAAUUGCAUUCGAUACUGGUUGGCUAGAGUAUGGGAGAGGGAUGGUAGAAUUCCAGGUGUAGCGGUGAAAUGCGUAGAGAUCUGGAGGAAUACCGAUGGCGAAGGCAGCCAUCUGGCCUAAUACUGACACUGAGGUGCGAAAGCAUGGGGAGCAAACAGGAUUAGAUACCCUGGUAGUC
rnacentral:rRNA from 2 species